AACGAACGCUGGCGGCAUGCCUAACACAUGCAAGUCGAACGAUAUCUUCGGGUCUAGUGGCGCACGGGUGCGUAACGCGUGGGAAUCUGCCCUUUGGUUCGGAAUAGCAGUUGGCAACGACUGCUAAUACCGGAUGAUGACGAAAGUCCAAAGAUUUAUCGCCAGAGGAUGAGCCCGCGUAGGAUUAGCUAGUUGGUGUGGUAAAGGCGCACCAAGGCGGCGAUCCUUAGCUGGUCUGAGAGAAUGAUCAGCCACACUGGGACUGAGACACGGCCCAGACUCCUCCGGGAGCCAGCAGUGGGGAAUAUUGGACAAUGGGCGAAAGCCUGAUCCAACAAUGCCGCGUGAGUGAUGAAGGCCUUAGGGUUGUAAAGCUCUUUUCCGCGGGAUGAUAAUGACAGUACCGGGAGAAUACGCUCCGGCUAACUCCGUGCCAGCCGCCGCAGUAA
rnacentral:rRNA from 1 species